AUUGAACGCUGGCGGAAUGCUUUACACAUGCAAGUCGAACGGCAGCACGGACUUCGGUCUGGUGGCGAGUGGCGAACGGGUGAGUAAUAUAUCGGAACGUGCCCAGUCGUGGGGGAUAACGUAGCGAAAGCUACGCUAAUACCGCAUACGAUCUACGGAUGAAAGCGGGGGAUCGCAAGACCUCGCGCGAUUGGAGCGGCCGAUAGCAGAUUAGGUAGUUGGUGAGGUAAAGGCUCACCAAGCCGACGAUCUGUAGCUGGUCUGAGAGGACGACCAGCCACACUGGGACUGAGAAACGGCCAAGACUCCUACGGGAGGAAGCAGUGGGGAAUUUUGGACAAUGGCCGCAAGUCUGAUCCAGCCAUUCCGCGUGCAGGACGAAGGCCUUCGGGUUGUAAACUGCUUUUGUACAGAACGAAAAGGUCUCUAUUAAUACUAGGGGCUCAUGACGGUACUGUAAGAAUAAGCACCGGCUAACUACGUGCCAGCCGCCGCCGUAA
rnacentral:rRNA from 1 species